rnacentral:rRNA from 1 species
AGUGAACGCUGGCGGUAGGCCUAACACAUGCAAGUCGAACGGCAGCACAGUAAGAGUUUGCUCUUACGGGUGGCGAGUGGCGGACGGGUGAGGAAUAAAUCGGAAUCUACUUUUUCGUGGGGGAUAACGUAGGGAAACUUACGCUAAUACCGCAUACGACCUACGGGUGAAAGCAGGGGAUCUUCGGACCUUGCGCGAUUGAAUGAGCCGAUGUCGGAUUAGCUAGUUGGCGGGGUAAAGGCCCACCAAGGCGACGAUCCGUAGCUGGUCUGAGAGGAUGAUCAGCCACACUGGAACUGAGACACGGUCCAGACUCCUACGGGAGGCAGCAGUGGGGAAUAUUGGACAAUGGGCGCAAGCCUGAUCCAGCCAUACCGCGUGGGUGAAGAAGGCCUUCGGGUUGUAAAGCCCUUUUGUUGGGAAAGAAAAGCAGCAGGUUAAUACCCCGCUGUUCUGACGGUACCCAAAGAAUAAGCACCGGCUAACUUCGUG